AGUGAACGCUGGCGGUAGGCCUAACACAUGCAAGUCGAACGGCAGCACAGUAAGAGCUUGCUCUUACGGGUGGCGAGUGGCGGACGGGUGAGGAAUACAUCGGAAUCUACUUUUUCGUGGGGGAUAACGUAGGGAAACUUACGCUAAUACCGCAUACGACCUACGGGUGAAAGCAGGGGAUCUUCGGACCCUGCGCGAUUGAAUGAGCCGAUGUCGGAUUAGCUAGUUGGCGGGGUAAAGGCCCACCAAGGCGACGAUCCGUAGCUGGUCUGAGAGGAUGAUCAGCCACACUGGAACUGAGACACGGUCCAUGCUCCUACGGGAGGCAGCAGUGGGGAAUAUUGGACAAUGGGCGCAAGCCUGGUCCAGCCAUACCGCGUGGGUGAAGGAGGCCUUCGGGUUGUAAAGCCCUUUUGUUGGGAAAGAAAAGCAGCAGGUUAAUACCCCGCUGUUCUGACGGUACCCAAAGAAUAAGCACCGGCUAACUUCGUG
rnacentral:rRNA from 1 species